GAUGAAGAACGUAGCGAAAUGCGAUAAGUAAUGUGAAUUGCAGAAUUCAGUGAAUCAUCGAAUCUUUGAACGCACAUUGCGCCCGCUAGUAUUCUGGCGGGCAUGCCUGUUCGAGCGUCAUUUCAACCAUCAAGCCCUGUUUAGGCUUGUGUUGGGGCCCUGCGGUUGCCGCAGCCCCCUAAAUGCAGUGGCGGGCUCGUUGUCACUCCGAGCGCAGUAGCGUAUCUCGCUCUGGGCGUGGCGGCGGGUGCUAGCCGUGAAACCCCCCACUGUAACCCCAAAGGUUGACCUCGGAUCAGGUAGGAAUACCCGCUGAACUUAAGCAUAUCAAUAAGCGGAGGA
rnacentral:misc_RNA from 1 species